rnacentral:rRNA from 1 species
UACGUAGGGGGCAAGCGUUGUCCGGAAUCAUUGGGCGUAAAGAGCGUGUAGGCGGCCCGAUAAGUCCGCCGUGAAAGCCCAGGGCUCAACCCUGGGAUGCCGGCGGAUACUGUCGGGCUAGAAUCCGGAAGAGGCGAGUGGAAUUCCUGGUGUAGCGGUGAAAUGCGCAGAUAUCAGGAGGAACACCGAUGGCGAAGGCAGCUCGCUGGGACGGUAUUGACGCUGAGACGCGAAAAGCGUGGGGAGCAAACAGG